rnacentral:lncRNA from 1 species
CUGGACUAUACAAGAGAGGGGAGGGAAAGAGAAGAAAGAAAAAAAACACCCCCUUCUGUCCACCAUUUUAGGGAGAGAAAAGGAAUACCUCAGCUGCUCUCCUAUCUCACAUCCAAAUGGAAAAGGCAGAAACCAGCUUGUUUCCUCACUGCAUUAGAGGUGAGAGGAAGCAGAAUAGGAAGAGGGCAGGAAGCAGCCAACAAAGGUAAGAAGAGAUGUUAAACUUCCCCAUGUCCUAAUGCUGCUGCAUUUGAAUCAAAACUCUUAUAAACCUACAACCCAGCUGUGGAAAAGGACUUUGGUAAAGCUGGGGUGGAGGGAAGGAUGGCUUUCGCAGUAGAAGUACUUGUUUUGCUUUGUAUUUGCAUGCUUCAUCCAAGUGUUACACAACAUGGAGUUUUAGAGAGCUGUACAAAAACAUGCACUUCACACAAGUCCAGGGAAAAACCCCAACCCCACUAAAAUCUGUUUAAAACAUAAAACCUCACCUGAGUCUAAAAGGACCCUAAUGCAGACCGCUCAGUAGGUACCGCAACAACAACAAAGGAAAAGAAAUCAUACAUUAGAAAAUAUUCCUGGCUUAGAUGUGACAAAACAGCUUUCCCAAGAUGAUUCUGUGUAACUCGAUGCCCCAAAUUCACUAACGUUUGCCAGGAUAGCAACGGCUGCUGCAGAAUUCCACUGGCAAACACUGUAUCUCACAUUUUUCUCUUUCUCAAUAUGCUGUGACUUCCUGUGGAGAAAUAAUCUAUACUACAAAGAGGUGCAGGACUAACACUUUUCGACGGAAAUAAUUUUACAGCAGCCUACAAUAUAUGUAGAAAUAUAAUACUUGGGUAGAGAAAUUCCUGAGCAGAGAGAGACUAGAAAAACACUUUGAUAAACAAACGCCUUCAAAGCUUAUGUUAUUUUCCUCAGAGCAAAAAAUAUUGGGUAACUGCGUGCUGUUCCUAGAAAGAAUGGAAUUUUGUUGCCAACAGCUGUAGCUUUUCAGAGGACUUAUAAUACUAUAUUGAAGAUUUAUGCUCCUGACAAAAGCUUAAAGCUAUCCAAACUAGGGCAGAAAAAAAACAAUCGCCUUUUAAAAGACCUGUGCUAUUUUUGUUAACUCUUCCUACAGCAGACGUUAGGACCUUCAAAAACAGACACCCACAACUGGGGUUGAUCUUUGUAAUGAUUCAUAAGUCAAGCAGUGACACUGCACCGGGUCAACUACUCAAUCUCAGGUUCUUAAACAAGCAAGAAGUACAUCCUAAUCGUCUUGAAAUCAAUCAAAGUCAUAAGUAUUUACCUCCAAAGUACAUGACUUUAAGUUUUCUUCCUGAUCCUUUUGGGCUUACAGUUACGUUUUUCCUACCUUAAGAAAGGUUUCCCCAAGGUGUGGCCAUCUCACAGAACCGUACAAGAUAGGAGAUAAGGUAUCCUAGACAAAAGACUGUCCUCUGCAUAAACAAGCAAAGGGAUGAGAUCUCAGAUCUCUGUGUUGGACUUACAUAGAUGUAAGUAGCCCUACCUGCCUGCGGUCGGUCUCCUGAUGCCAGCAGAAACUGUUCCUUGAGCUCUGCAGGAUUAGGGUCUUCUGUGCUCUCUGUAACUACAGCAGCUAACAGUAUCUGGAACUUUAAAGCUAAACUGAUACUGAGCAAAGAAACUCAGGAUGUCACAGUUUUUCAGGCUCAUAUAUUUGCAAGCAGCCAAGCAGCACACUCUGGGUUGAAUCCUGGGCCAAUUUACAGUUACAAUCUAUGCCGCUCCGUGAACGUUACGCUGAGUUACACAAAUUGUGAUUGACAAAUCCGUUGCCUUGAAACAAUUUGCCCAAAGCUCACGAUGAGUCAGUGGAAGUGUCUUGUUUAUGUCUCAGACUCUGGCUUCCAUCUCGUAGCUGCUCAGUCCACCAGAUCAUAACUACGGAGCACCACCAAAGAAGUUUUUAUUUCUGUCCUUCUAAAAUAACACUUUAAUUUGUUUGUUGUUUUUGUUUUGUUUUGUUUUGCUUUUACAAAGGGAAGAAAAUAAAUUAAAAGCUUCUUAACAAUUACAGUUGUGCUUUUUUUUUUUUUUAAAACUGGUAACCAACAAACUACUUCUCAGCUGAUCCACAGAUAGAAAGCCUGAUCUCUUCAAGCAAAAUGCACAACAGUCCAAAGCCCUAGAUAGAAAAAUCACUGUGCGUGUGCCAGAGUUGUCACCUACAGACAAAGGAAUAGAGUACCUGCUUUAACUUUAAAAAACCCCUGCAUGUAGUUUAGUUUGUAAGAAGUGAAGGACUACAAAAUAAAGCCUUCCUUCAAGAAACAACUCGCCACCAGUCCUUAAUCCUGCAAAAGAUCUGCAAAAACUGAGGAUAUUUUGCUUGAGUAAACAGAAUUUUAAUUGAGCAUAAACAAGUGAACAGCAGGCAUGCCAUUUCCAUAAGUAUGCAUGAUUCCAAGCAAUAAAGAUUUUAAAAUCUGAGGCCAUGAAACAGAUUUCAAUUUUAAAAGUCUUACGGUUUUAAAAAACAUAUGAUGUGCAUAGAAGGCUCUUUUCACUAGAAAUAGAUUCUUUAGAACAAAUUGCCAGUGACAAAUCAUCAUUUUUAUGAACUGUUUCCAGUAAGGUAGAAGUUAUCUCGCAUGGCACUGAAGAACACAUUUAAUUUUAAGCAUGCUUACAGUUUUAUUAGAGGCAAUGGCUUUUUCCAUGCUUAAAGCCAAGCAUAUGCUCAAGUACUCUGCUGAGACAAAAGCUUACAAGUUUGUUGUUCUGAAUGCAAAGCGAGGCUUUUUAUCCCAAACCACAUUUUCUUGCAUGUAAUCAGCCCUCAUGAUGUCACCAUAGUUUCCAAUUCACUUCAGGAUGUGCUCAUCAUUUAUUAGGGUCCAGAUGGUGCUCUCUUUCUUUGGCUACUAAAGACCAUGCCCAAAUAUUAAAGCUUACCCUUUUCUUACGCUCUGGAUUACCACAGUACAAAAUGACAGUAACCUCUGAUCUAAUCUGGAAAUCUUUUCUUUGUACAUGAGAUUUGGCAAUAUCAAGUACAGUCAGCCCACUCGAAACCAAAGAACCUGAUAUGCAUAAAUACAGUACAUUAGUCACAAUGGGAACAAGCAACCCACAAAAUGGUCAAAAGAGUAAAAAUCAGAAAGCAUUUUUCUAGUAAAAAAAAGAUGGGACCUUGCCUGUACUUGAUAGCCACAUGUGUUUUUGAAGAACUUUGAGGAUUAAUUCAAUAGCUCAACCAGCAAUCAGCAAACAGACACACACACUGAUUUGUAAGGCAAAUAAGGAGCACGAGCAUGACAGGGUUUGUCAUAACAGCACCAUCAUUUCCAACACUUUCAACACCACAAGUCUGCACCGUGCUGAGAACCCACAGUGUUUUGACCCAUGGGCAGCACGAGAUAUUUAUUCUCCAAAGAGUUCUGGAAAUUAUUUACUAUUUCCGCAGCUGUGGAGCAAGCAUAAAGCACAUCUCCACAGAGACCCAGCAGAAAGAUAAGUUGUCGUGACAUUUCAUUAAAAAUGUCCUAAGGUAAGAUAAUGCCAUAUUUGUCCAGCAGAUCUUGACAAAACGUUCUCCAGCGUGCAGCUAAUUCAGGUGCAGGUGCACAUGAUGUUCAACAGUCCUGAGUCACACAUCUUCACAAGCUUAGAGCCUCACGCAAAGCACACUGACACUGGAAAAAUCACACAUCAUAAUAUGACCAAAUCUAAAUGGGGGGAGGCUAGGGGAGGGAAGGAAGGAAAGUUAAUCCAACUGCUCAGAAAAAGAUGUUCCCAAAUGAGAACUACUUCACUAUUUAACUAUUAUUACCUACAACUAACUAUUUAACAACUAACACAUGUUGCAAGAAACUAGGGCAAGGAAAUGUAUUUUAAGCAGUCUUCCUGACUUCAAAACAGCUUAGUAAUUGCAUUCAUGUAUUGGUAGAGAAAUCGUUUCAGAAUAAACAUCAAAUCCAGAAAGCUUGUUUUAGAUGUGUGCUUAAAUGUCAGAAAAACAGAGGUUCAACAAGAUUACGUAACGUCCACUGAAUCAGUUGACUCCUAAACUCUUUUCAAAACUAAGCAGCAGCUAGUAAUUUUGGUGGCAAUAAUCCUAGAUAUCUGCACUCCAAUAAACAUGAUAAACCACGUAAUUCUAAAUCAGUAUAUGCUACUAAAUUAAAACAACAUUAAAAUAAUAAAGUUACAUAAAUAAAAAUUCUGUCAAUCCGGAAACAAAAUACCAUAAAACAUAGAUAAAACACACAUUAACCAGGUAUGGGUAGCAAGGAGGCCAUUAUUCAGCUAGGGAAAACUACUUUUUAUAGUCCUUUCCCUUUGAAGUAAUGGAGUCUGGGUCCUCCUACAUCUCCCAGCUCUCCAAAGGCAGCCUCAGUUGAGCUGCUGUCUCCCCAUACCCAGAAACUCAUCCUUGCUCACACCCCAAGCUUGGCAGUGCCUCCUGGCAUUGGGCUGGCUUCCAGGAAAUUCAGGCUGCACCCUAUGUUGCUAUCGUGCUCUGUAUCUCCAUGAUGCAUAACUUGAAAUUACUGGUACAUUCAACACUUUCAAAACUACACCUUGAGAACAAGCUUCAAAAUACCAGCAACAACAACCCUGGCCUUACCUGCAGGAUCUUGUACCGUCAUUUCCUUACGCUUCACCUUCAACUUGUCCUUAACCCAUGGGAACUCCUGUAAGGAAUCCAGGAAUGCAUCAAAAGCCUUGGGUCCUCUAGUAGGAAGAAUAUCAAGGAGCAUCAUGGUUUUCCUUUGGCUGGUGGUUUGGGAUUUUAUUUCUUGAACAUGACUGUCGGUGAGAAUGCCUUCUUGGUAGAGAUACUGAAUAACCAGUCCAUCCACCAGCACCUCUGUGCAGAGCUCCAGGCGCAGGGAGCGCAAAAGCUGCUUGUCUCUGGCAUCCAUUUGGCAACUCGGGUUUCGCACGCGGCGGAGCGCCGAGCCCAACGGGCAGCGCACGGCCCCGUCCUGCCCCGCUCCGUUCCGGGGGCGGCGUCGCGGCAGCCCGUACCGCAGGCCCCGGCCCGCCCCGCGGAAGCCCGGCCCCGGCCCCGCAGCGCUGGGGGCCGCAGCCGAGCGCCCCGCGGCGCCGCCCGGCAGCCGGCUCGGCCGCUCUUCCGGAGCCGGAGGAGCGCGGCCCGCGGCGGCGGUUCCCCGGCGGGCCGAGCCCCGGAGCGGGCCGGGAGCGGGCGGCGCGGGGCGGGGGAGCCCUCCGCCCGCUCCCCGUACUUACAGAGGGAAACGGGGAACUAUACGCGGCGCCCCGGCGCCCGCGGAGCCGGCGCGGGGAGCACCAUCUUUGUUGAGGGCUCCGCCGGAAGCCGCCGCCCGGCCGCGGGCCGCCCGGGGGAGCGCCGCCACCGGCCCCGCUGACGGCGAGGGCGGGGGGUGCCGCCAUGUCACUUGUGGGCAGCGGGGGCGGCGCGGCGGGGGGCGGGAGCGCGGGGCACCGCGGGGGGGGCUCUGUCCCGGAGCGGGGCGGGGGAGUCGUUGCCGAGGUGAACGAGAGCCGCGGGAAGGGAGCCGUCGCGACCCGGGAGCGGCGAUGCCGACUCCUGACGCGACGCGGUGCGCGGCCCGGCUCCGUUCGGACGCACCGCUCGGCCUCCCCGUUCCCCUCCGAGCGGCCCGCAGAGCGAAGAGCGUUCGCCCACGGGAGCCCGACCCCCCCCCGCUCUCGGCCGGUACGCGGAAGCCGCGCACCGCCGGCGAGGGCACCACGCGCGCAGCGCUUCGCGGCGCCGCGGGGCGGUGUGGGCGCGGAGGGCCGCCUGAGCGCGGGGCGCGCUGCCUCUGGGGGACGUGGAUGCGCGUGUGGUGGUUUAUGUGGGCGGCAUCUGCGCGCACAGCGCUUUACGCGGCGGCUAGAAAACAAUGCCUUGGGUCACUCGGCAUACGUGUGUCGGUGUGGGGUAGCGGGCAGAUAAUAAAUUCGACGCAGAGGGUUGAAAUUGCUUUUAAAUGGCUGGUAGGUGAUGCCGCGUUUCGGUACGUCCGUUUAAACCACGGUGAACGCUUUGUCUCGGGCACACCUCAGCCUUCUAGGAACAGGGGCGGGACAGCCUACGUGCGCUGUGACCUUAGCUGCAAACCGCACGGGGAGGCACCGUCGGCCGCUGGGUGACGAGGAGCCGGCUGCCCUGCGGCCGCGGGACUGCUGUCACGGUUUCUGUGCCACGGGCCGUUUGUAGUACUGCGGUGCGAAAACACAUCUGUAAGCGAUUCAGAGUGGCACCGGGGAGCGGAGAACGCCACAAUCAGUGUAUAAGAUCAUCCCUCGCGCGGAGCCGUGUGACUGCUGAAAGUUUCCUUCCUUGACUUCCUGUACCUCUGCUUGCCAAUGUUUGCUUUGCUUUGCUUUGUUUUUCAGUUCUAGUCACCAUGGAAGGAACUGUAUUGUGUUUAGAACCGAAGGGACCGAACCUGAGGACUUCCAGUACCACCCCACUGCCGUCCUGGCGGCUGCUUUCAGUGCAGACAAUGAGCCCACGUCUCAGCCCAGAAAAGGGACGCAAGCAGUUUGUUAGAUAGCUUGCAUUCCUUCUGCCAGUUGAGGCAACUGUGAUUAUUUAUUUUAUACUGUCCAAGAAUAUCUUAGAAAGUUAGCAAAACAUAUGGAUGUGCGCAGAGCAGCUCCGGUUCCCUCUCUAAUAAAUAGCAGCAGCCCCGUUGUCUUUAGCACAGCCAGCGCUGGUCACGUCGCUGCUUACAGCCUAAACAUGCAGGGAAGGAGAGCGGUGGGAGGAAGGAGAUAAGCCUCGGAAGGAAGAGGGGAACGGCAGAUGUCCAGGUCUGAUUAAAGGGAAAAUCUGGUGUUUCCUUUUCUUUCCGCUGGUUUGUAUGCGGUGUCAUAAAUUCACCGGUGGAAGCUGAAAGCGCUACGAGUUGUUCAGGUCCGUCGGCAGCGACACGAGCGGAGCGGUGACUGCGCUCUGUGCUCACCCUGCUGCCGCAGGACAGCACAGGGAGAGAAGCCCUCACACUCAGCAGUUCUGCUUGGGUUCAGCUCUGACUGUGGUUCUCCCAGGUCUGAUCCGACUUCAGCAAGACUGCAGAAGAACGGAUCAGUUCCAUCCGAGUAUUAGGGGGAAAAAAACCAAAACACUGCAUGAUCCAGUUUGGGGUCGGCUCGGUUCCUUGCUAUCUGCUCAGGUCUGAAUGCUAACCUUGGUUAAACACGUAGAUCAAAACAGUAUCCCCUGGUUUGUGUAGGUCAGUGCACCACAGUCGAUCCCACACGUCAGCAUUUAGGACGUUUGACCUCAAACCUUGCUCACCGUGCUUCUGUGGGACCCACAGGGGAAUCGCCGCCGCUCUUCAGGCCAUGCUGCCGAGGACCGCUGAGUUCAGGGCAGCAAGUCCAGCUCUAUGAGAACCAAGUCCAACUCCAUGGGAACCAAGCUACGCAGCAUCUCUUCCGACAGGGCUGUUCCCUUUUACACGUGUGCUAUUGCAGAUCAGGAUGCCAGAAUUUUACAUGCACUGUACACAUUUUAAAAAUCCCAAAUCUUUUUAGAAACUCUGCAAGAAAAGUAAGUCCAUCCAAUAAAUAAAUAAAUAAACAAUCCAUCUCUUGAAAGGAUCCUCCCUGCUAAUUAGAGCUGAGCUCCAUCCUGCAUGGAUGUAUUUUCUUUGUUUUCUACAUACUAAUUUGUUUCUGCUGAUAACGAGAGCCAAACUGUGUUUUGAAAACUCGUGCAACCAGAUUUAAUCUAUUAGGACUAUGCUGUUUUCAAUUGUCUGUAGGACGGCAUUCCAACUUUAGGGACAAAAGAAAAGAAAUAUGAGCCUCAAGAUUUGUUUAUUAAAAACACAUCUAAUUGGUUAAAUCUCUCACAAAACCUCCAAAAUGAAGAUGGAAAAAAGAAGCAUAUAUUAUAGGGCUGCCUGUCAUUUUUAGACAGACGAGAGCAGAGAACAUUUCUGUUAAAAUAGGAGCCGGGGUGGCCCAAAUGCUGUGGCCUGAGGAGCAGAUGAGGGUCCUGCGAGUGAUCCCUUCCUUCCCACCCUCUUCCUCUGCCUCCCCUUGCUGUGCUGCCCUCGGCAAGCCUGGCUCUCAUUCACGCCAACACCUGGUGCUGCUGCAAAGGCAGGCUGGUGCCAGAGAGGCUCCGAGGGCAGUGGGCAGCCCCGACAGCACUAUUCUCUCUGCCUACGGGGAGAUUGUACCUGGUGUGGUGGGAUGGGGGCAGCCCCCAGCCUGCACGCCGGGUUAUUCUGCUGCUUCCUGAGCCCCCCUCCCACCAAACGAUAAGGGCUUGGAGUUAAGUGCACUUCAAAGAGAGCAAAGGGUAUAAAACGUAGGUGACACGUCAUCAACAUUCGGAGAAGUGUUUUAUUUAAAGGCAUGGCCAGCGUGUAGGUAAAGCCCUAUCUCAAAGCAUUAAACCUCUGGGGUUUGGGGCGACCCCGUAGCAUCCGUGCUUUUGCAUUUGUUUCAGCAAUAAAAAUAAGUAAAUAAAUAUUAGCGGUGCUGCGAGGAAUUGGUCCUCGGUGCUGUUUACUUUGGUGCUAAUGAUCUCAGCCAAAACUCGGACGUAGAACAGUGCUAAGAAAAGGAGCAGGCAUCGAAUGUGAAACUGGCACUUUCAUUCCGGAGGAAAAGAAUCUCUGCAGCGAAUUGUAAUAAAAAACCUGCACUGCAUAUUUGCAAAAUGUGACUCAAUAUUUCUUCUACGAGGAAUUUGUAGUCCAUUUUCCUUAAGUGUGUGAAUUAAUGCUUUCCUCUGUUUUGUUUUGAAGUUCAAUUUAAAGAUGCUUUCGGGAAAGAGCUGAAAUACCGAAAGCCUUGAAAUAUUCCUGACUUUUGAAACUUCUUUUUUUUUUUCCCUAAUGCAAAGCAACCAUUUUACUAAUGAGAGAGUAAAGAAGUAUCACGAAUCAGCCUGAAAAUUAAAUACUGAGAAGUAAGGAAAAAGAAUAUGAGAUUCAGGUCUAAAACCCUGUCCCAGAACAAACUGCUUUUGUUUGCAAGUUCCAGAGUAGGAACUGCCUGCCUAGCACUGCACACGGAGCGCAGGGUUUAUUGGGGAGGAGAAUAACCACUGAUUUUUGUCAUCUUCGGUUCCUUUCUCGGGCUUUGAGCUGCACAAACUUGCAUGCAGUGCAUCUCUUUUUAAAGUCUCUUGCUUUCAGGUUAAGCUUUUCAGGAGCUGGUAAUGAUUCAUGGAAAGUUUUUUGCAGGUAGCCUAGCCGGAGCUGUGCUUAUACUUCUUCCAUAUGUCCUGUUCUCCAAUAAAAAAUACCCUUCGAUUCACAGUCCUCGGGCUCGAUUUUGUUCCCUUGCAAAGUGAAACCUGUGUGGUUCAUGGCUGCGAGGCGCUGGCUCAGCAGCCUCGAGUGGGCACUGCAUCUGCCAACCGGGGGACUCGAAGGAAACUGAUGAUUUCCAGAGAGCUGCUAUCUCCUCGCAGUGCUUCUGCCUGCAGCGCUCAGCUCACAGAGGAGCUGCGAUGCUCUGGCACUGCAAUGGAGGCAGACAAGCAGCGCCCUUCCCCUACUUAUUUUCUGCUCUCUGCAGAGCAAAGCAGCUGCUCGAGGAGAUCACCAUUGUUGUAGGGUAAACGCUAAUUGAAAAACAAGCAAUUUUUCACCCACGCUGAAAAACUACAAAAUGUGAAGUCGAUCUCCUGCCCUACAGAUAUGGAAACUGCAGCUAGUAAGGGCUCGGUCACAUUUAAUAUUGCUUUUCUGAAAAGCAAAUGGCAGCAGCAAAAAGUUCCACGAACAACCACAGCUGAGCCACAGCUUCUUCUGCCUUGUGUCAGCGAGCAGCACGGUAGGUAAGAGAAAAGCAGCUGCCGGACGUGUCACGGAGGUGUGUGGAGGAGCCCCUCUGGUUGGGGCAUUCCCACCGAGCCAGGCUGGGUGUGGGGACAGAGGCUGAGCUGAAUGGGUCCUGUUUUGGGACCGCAGCCUAAAGAGGCACAAUUAAAUUUUAACAAAGCAUUUUGAAAAGUGAGGUUAGAGCUUUGAAAUGUCCAUCCCACAGCUGUUUCUAGUUUAUUUCUUG